rnacentral:rRNA from 1 species
GUACACGCUGUGACUAGCAUAUCAAUAAGCGGAGGAAAAGAAACUAACAAGGAUUCCCCUAGUAACGGCGAGUGAAGCGGGAAGAGCUCAAAUUUGAAAUCUUAAAGGGUUUCCCUUUACGAAUUGUAGUUUAAAGAAGUGUUUUCUGUUGAGGUUUUGGUAAAAGUUCUUUGGAAUAGGACAUCAUAGAGGGUGAGAAUCCCGUAUUUGACCUUUACUUUCAACUUUGUGAUACACUUUCAAAGAGUCGGAUUGUUUGGGAAUGCAGUCCAAAAUGGGUGGUAAAUUUCAUCUAAAGCUAAAUAUUGGCGAGAGACCGAAUAGCGAACAAGUACCGUGAGGGAAAGAUGAAAAGAACUUUGAAAAGAGAGUUAAACAGUACGUGAAAUUGUCAAAAGGGAAGCGUUUGACACCAGUGUUGUUUUUCUGAAAAUCAAUUAAAGAACUGUUUAUGCUAAGCUGUUUAGACUUUAUCAGCUAACUGUUUAGUUUUGAGCUUUCCUUUAAUGCACUUUUCAGUUAACAAGUCAACAUCAAUUUCUUUUGCUGUAAAAAAGCUUGAGGAAGGUGGCUUGAGAUUCGUCUUAAGUGUUUAUAGCCUCUUGCCUAUGCAGUCGGAGAGAUUGAGGUCUGCAGCGUAGAUCCUUCGGGACUAAAUGCAUUUGUGCUAAGUUAUAGCAUUUUAUAGACAACUUGUUGACUAUGAUUUGUCUUGUAGCUUACUCGCUUAUGUUAUUUUACCUACGCUUAGGAUGUUGAGUUCGUAGAGCACGCAG